ensembl:ncRNA C15H7.10 ncRNA
CCGCGACUUCUUCUUCUUCUAAGUUUCCUUGCGGAAGGAGGUCCUCCGAAUCUCGACCCGCCGCCACUUUCAUUUUCAUUGCGAACGAAAGAUUGCCCUUUUCAGGAUUACCCGUUUGUAGAAUAA